GUUUUCCCUCUUGAAUGCACUGCUGGGGAUUGAAGAAUAGAGGGAAUAGCUGGCAGGUUAUGUGCACGAUGGUACAAAUCAAUAGUUUUCAUCACUUGAAGUAGCCCAGGGGAAUGUCGCAGAGUGGUGGGUUAUAACUUAGAGUAUGCAGCUGACACGCAGUCUCCUGUAUAACAAAAUAACUCUGCCAUCCUCACUUCCAGGCAGAUUGCAAACCGGAU